AGAUAAUCACUCUUCACAAAAUGGACACGGCUCGGCGGAUGGUGUAGUACUUUAUAGUGAGAUCGAAUUUCGAAUGCAGUGCAGACCUAUAAGUACCUAACACUGCAGAUUGCAGCGAAUAGGAUGAUCUGGGUGUAGAAAAGAACGACUUGAGCCGCGGGUCAAGAUCAAUGUUACAGCGACAAACGUACGAGUAGAAAAAAAAAGAAAAAAAAAAAAAUAUCAGCGAGUCAAUGGGUAUUGUAGGAAUAUAAAAUGAGGCCUGACUCAACGCCUCUCGAAUUUUGGUAACCAGAUUUCAGCGUAUCAUGUAUUUUCAAAAAUUCACGGAAUCGAAAGUCCCAGCUUUUUUUUUUCUCUCGGUUUCGUUGAGAUAUUCAAAAGCUGAAUUCCAACGAAACCGAAAGGGUCGCAUCAGAAUUCCGAGCUGACGAGCAAAAUAGGAAAGUAUAGAAAAAGAAAACAAUGCCAAUUAUUUAUAACAGCUGCUCGAAGUUUCUCUGAGAAAGAUCUAUAACGUUCGCGCGUUCAAGGGGGAAACAAAAAAAAUUGGUAGCGCGCUCUUUCGCGACUGAUACUACGGCAUAUACCGUGACACAAAACAAUGGUAAACGUGUACGAAUAAUAAAAAUUUUGACUCGAGGCUCAUAAUAAUUGUCGAUCGUAAGUUGUA